rnacentral:lncRNA from 1 species
UAAAUUUUUCAUUUUAUUCAAAGUUGGUACAGAAGUGCUAACGUUUCCAUAAAAUAAUUACUAUACUUCAGUUACAGGACAAAAUACCACAGAAAGGAAUAUACUUUGCAAGAAAUGUAGUUCAUCUUAAGUUUCCAAAUACUUUUAAACGCUAAUGCAGCAGCUGGCAAAAUAACACACAGUACACAGAAAACAGUGUAUUUUACAGAGUCAGUAAUGAAAACUGACAGCUCUUUAGCAGAUAUGCUUCAUUUUUUUUUAAAACAAUAACACUUUUAAAAACACAUUAAACCAAGAUCAUACAUGUCUACAAUUUAAAAAAUCAGAUUGUAUACAAUAGAAGAGUCAAGUUAGAAUUGUCAUGUAUGGUUAACAAUCCUAAAUCUACAAUUUCAAUUGUAUUCAAUAUGGAAGUUACCUGGUUUAUACCAAAUUCUACUUUCUGUUCACAACUAAAACAUUAUACAAUGAGAUGGACUUGGUAAGUCAAACCUU